GCUCCUGUGGCUUAGCGGUACUUUGCGUGAAUGAAAAGGUCGAGGUCCCGAGUUCAAAUCUCGGCAGGGGCU
rnacentral:tRNA from 1 species